UCAUUGUAACUAAAUAGUAGGCCUGAGAUUCUUCGGCAUAAACGUUUGGUUCUUAUGCGAUAAGUGAUUUUUUACUUAAAAUAUUUUAAAAAAUGAGAUAAGCUCAUCAGUAAACAAAUUAUGUAAUUAACAAAAAAAUUAAAAAAAAUUUUUUAAUGGCCAAAAAUAUUAAUUCGUUCAAAAAUAUAAAUUUUAUUUUUUCAUACCACAUUUUUUAAACAAUUUUUAUAGAAAUGGACAUCCUAGUCUAUAAAUAUUGUUAGAAACGAAGGGCACCUCCAAAACGGGCAUUCUGUUUUAAUAGGAUAGUUAUUCUACCUUGAGAUGUUCACUCAUUGGUGAUCGAAUAGUCUCUCAUCACCAGAUCGAUCUUUGUCGUCUGUUGGUGACGCCGGCUCUGCAUCAUCUUCGUUCUUAUCCUUUCUUCUCGAUCAAGUUUCUGGAUCUGUACCAUUGCUUCGUCUGUUCUCAGCAAUAUGCGAUCUCCUUUUGUAUUUCACAUUAAACUAGAUUGAUCCUGUAAACGUGAUCCAAGUCAGUAACAAUCGUUUUUUGCGAUCUGUUCCAGUCCGAUCAAGAGGUUUGCUUUAAGGAACACAAAAGCAGAGCAUCACUUAUAGAUCUCUGUCUCGACACUAAUUUGGUGUCUCUGUGAUCAAGCUCAUACGGCUUUGAUUGCCUCGGCUAUGCUUUUGUUCCACUCUGAAACCGAGAUCGCGUAUUGGUAGCUCUUCAGAUCGGUGGAUUCGUGAUCAGGUCAAGCACCGGAGAUUCUUUCUAUUCCGGUUCGUCGUUGCGUACUGGAUUCGAUCUGGUCCCCUGUUCUCUUUUCUUGUUUCACUACAGACAAAGGAUCAUAGGUUUCAGUACUGAGAUCGUUACUUCCAAACUCUUGUGCCUGCGAUUCAAGAAACAUUGACACCCCCCUUCACCAUUCAUUGUCUAAAGCUCUUUGGCUUUAAUCGAUCUGUACCUGCGAUCGUGUUGACGUCAAAUGCUUCUCUCCAAGCGAUGCUUUAGCUGACUUCAUUACAAGAGUGGAAAUCGGUGUUUAACAGAAUCUCCCUUCAUUCAGGAUUUGGCCACUUUACCGACAUAAAGAAUUCCCUUGAUUCUACAAUAAAAAUAAUUCAUUUGAAUUAUUAUGCAAGAUAAUUAAAGAUUUCAUUGGAUUUUUUUUUUUUAAAAAAGAGAAAUCAAUCCAUGGAUCAUUCAUAUUUUUCUGAUAUGCGAGUGAUGCGAACCUGUAAACCAUCUGGUCUUCAUCGAUGAAAAUAUUAAGCCGGAACUAUCGAGAGA